CAAGUUCGAUCAUGGCUCAGAUUGAACGCUGGCGGGAUGCUUUACACAUGCAGCGGUCGAACGGCAGCACGGACUCUCCACCCAGCAUGAGUGGCGAACGGGUAUAAUGUAUCGGAACGUGCCUAGUAGCGGGUGAUAUGGAAUUACGCGAAAGCGUAGCUAAUACUGCAUAUUGGCCUCUUCGGGAAAGUUGGGGACCUUCGGGCCUCGCAUCAAUAGAGCGGCCGAUAUCGGAUUAGCUAGUUGGUGGGGUAACGGCCUCACUGGUUGGGGCGAUCAUCCUGUAGCUGGUUUGAGAGGCAGGACGACCAGCCACACUGGACUGAGACACGGCCCGACUCUACGGAGCAACAUGGGGAAUUUUGACUAAUGUAAACCUGAUCCAGCCAUCCCGGCGUGUGCGAUGAAGGCCUUCGGGUUGUGAAAGCACCUUUUGGCAGGAAAAGAAACGGCACGGGAUAAUAACCGUGCAACUGACGGUACCUGGUAGAGAAUAAGCACUGGCUAACUACGUGCCAGCAGCCGCGGUAAUACGUAGGUGCAAGCGUUAAUCGGAAUUACUACAAAGCGUAAGCGGCAUCCGACGAAAGAUGUGAAAUCCCAGAGCUUAACUUUGGAACUUGCAUUUUUAACUACCGAGCUAGAGUUGCUUAGAGGGAGGUGAAUUCACGUAGCAGUGAAAUGCGUAGAUAUGAGUGAACACCGAUGGCGAAGGAGGAACCGGGAUAACACUGACGCUCAUGCACGAAAGCGUGGGGAGCAAACAGGAUUAGAUACCCUGGGUAGUCCACGCCCUAAACGAUGUCAACUACUGUUGGGGGCCUUCGGGCCCGGUAGCGCAGCUAACGUGAAGUUGACCGCCUGGGGAGUACGGUCGCAAGAUUAAACUCAAAGAAUUGACGGGGACCCACACAAGCGGUGAUGAUGUGGAUUAAUUCGAUGCAACGCGAAACCUUAACCACCCUUGACAUGUCUCAGAAUCCCGAAGAGAUUUGGGAGUGCUCGCAAGAGAACUGGAACACAGGUGCUGCAUGGCUGUCGUCAGCUCGUGUCGAGAUGUUGGGUUAAGUCCUUCAACGAGCGCAACUCCUUUGUCAUUAUCAAGCACGAAAGGGCACUCUAAUGACUGCCGGUGGACAAAACCGGAGGAAGGUGGAGAGAUCAUCCUAUGGCCCUUAUGGGUAGGCUUCACACGUCAUACAAUGGUCGCCCGGCAGGGUCGCCAACCCGCGAGGGGGAGCCAAUCCCAGAAACCCGAUCGUAGUCCGGAUCGCAGUCUGCAACCUCGACUGCGUGAAGUCGGAAUCGCCAGUAAUCGCGGAUCAGCAUGUCGCGGUGAAGGCGUUCCCGGCUCCCAGGCGACACCGCCCGUCACACCAUGGGAGUGGGUUUUACCAGAAGUAGUUAGCCUAACCGGGCACACGAGGGCGAUUACCAUGCAGGGGGAUUCAUGACUGGGUGAAGUCGUGCACAGC
rnacentral:rRNA from 1 species